rnacentral:rRNA from 1 species
CAGUCGCCACGGGAAUACGUAGGUGGCAAGCGUUGUCCGGAAUUAUUGGGCGUAAAGGGCUCGCAGGCGGUUUCUUAAGUCUGAUGUGAAAGCCCCCGGCUCAACCGGGGAGGGUCAUUGGAAACUGGGAAACUUGAGUGCAGAAGAGGAGAGUGGAGUUCCACGUGUAGCGGUGAAAUGCGUAGAGAUGUGGAGGAACACCAGUGGCGAAGGCGACUCUCUGGUCUGUAACUGACGCUGAGGAGCGAAAGCGUGGGGAGCGAACAGGAUUAGAUACCCCCGUAGUCCCUGUCUCUUAUAC